AUUGAACGCUGGCGGCAUGCCUUACACAUGCAAGUCGAACGGCAGCGCGGGAGCAAUCCUGGCGGCGAGUGGCGAACGGGUGAGUAAUACAUCGGAACGUGCCCAAUCGUGGGGGAUAACGCAGCGAAAGCUGUGCUAAUACCGCAUACGAUCUACGGAUGAAAGCAGGGGAUCGCAAGACCUUGCGCGAAUGGAGCGGCCGAUGGCAGAUUAGGUAGUUGGUGAGGUAAAGGCUCACCAAGCCUUCGAUCUGUAGCUGGUCUGAGAGGACGACCAGCCACACUGGGACUGAGACACGGCCCAGACUCCUACGGGAGGCAGCAGUGGGGAAUUUUGGACAAUGGGCGAAAGCCUGAUCCAGCCAUGCCGCGUGCAGGAUGAAGGCCUUCGGGUUGUAAACUGCUUUUGUACGGAACGAAACAGUCUUUUCUAAUAAAGAAGGCUAAUGACGGUACCGUAAGAAUAAGCACCGGCUAACUACGUG
rnacentral:rRNA from 1 species